UAAAGCUACUAAGGGCAUAUGGUGGAUAUCUUGGCAGCAAGAGACGAAGAAGGACGCGGUCAAACUGCGAAAAGUUCCGGGGAGUUGUUAAGCGAGCAUUGAUCCGGAAAUCUCCGAAUGGGGCAACCCUUUAACAUGAAAGUGUUAAAACCUAGUGGUGAGUAAAGUAGCCACUAAGGAGUGAACGUGGGGAACUGAAACAUCUAAGUACCCACAGGAAAAGAAAUCAAAUGAGAUUGCGAAAGUAGCGGCGAGCGAAAUCGCAUUGGCCCAAACCAACGUGCAUGCACGUUGGGGUUGUAGGACCUGCAUAAGGCGAAGACUGGUAAAAGAAACAUCUGGGAAGGUGUACCAAAGAGGGUGAAAGUCCCGUAUUUGAAACUGGUCGUAAGCUGGCGGGAAUCCUGAGUAAGGCGAGGCACGUGGAACCUUGUCUGAAUCUGGGGAGACCACUCUCCAAGGCUAAAUACUCCUUGCUGACCGAUAGUGUACAAGUACCGUGAGGGAAAGAUGAAAAGAACCCCGAUGAGGGGAGUGAAAUAGAACUUGAAACCGUAUGCUUACAGACAGUCAGAGGGCUAUUGUAAGGCCUAAUGACGUACCUUUUGCAUUAUGAUUCAGCGAGUUAGUGUAUGUAGCGAGGUUAAGUCGUUGCAGAUGAAGCCGUAGGGAAACCGAGUCUGAAUAGGGCGUUAGUUUCAUGCACUAGACCCGAAACGGGAUGAGCUAACCAUGAGCAGGUUGAAGCGGGGGUAACACCUCGUGGAGGACCGAACUCGUUGUCGUUGAAAAGACUUGGGAUGACUUGUGGUUAGGGGUGAAAGGCCAAUCAAAUUCCGUGAUAGCUGGUUCUCUUCGAAAUGCAUUUAGGUGCAGCGUGUAGCGAUUACUGUCGGGGGUAUAGCACUGACUUGGCUAGGGGCAUUACCGUGCUACCAAACCAUAUCAAACUCAGAAUACCGACAAGUACAGCUAUGCAGUGAGGCGGUGGAUGCUAAGGUCAAUCGCCGAGAGGGAAAGAGCCCAGAUCACCGGCUAAGGUCCCAAAAUUAAGGCUAAGUGGAGAAGGUUGUGGAACUACUGUGACAUCCAGGAGGUUGGCUUAGAAGCAGCCAUCCUUUAAAGAAAGCGUAAUAGCUCACUGGACUAGUGGUUCUGCGCCGAAAAUGUAACGGGGCUAAAGCCUUAUACCGAAGCCGUGAACUUUUAAAGUGGUAGAAGAGCAUUGUGUUUGCUGAUGAAGGUGUACCGUAAGGAGCACUGGAGGUAUCACAAGAGCGGAUGCUGAAAUGAGUAGCGAUAAAGAGAGUGAGAAUCUCUCUCACCGAAAAUCCAAGGGUUCCUGGGCCAGGUGACUCCGCCCAGGGUGAGUCGGAUCCUAAGAUGAGGCCAAACGGCGUAAUCGAUGGGUAACAGGUUAAUAUUCCUGUACUUAGUAUGUAUCGUUUGACUGAAGGAGUGACGGAGAAAGAUAGCAUGGCCAGAGAUUGGUUGUUCUGGUUUAAGCAAGUAGGUGGGGACGGUAGGCAAAUCCGCUGUCCUAUUUAAACACUGAGAUGUGAUGACGAGCUCUAGCGAUAGAGCGAAGUGUGUGACUCUUGGCUUCCAAGAAAAGCUUCGUAGGGAGAUAUGUAUUAAUCCGUACCGUAAACCGACACAGGUGGAUGAGGAGAAAAUCCUAAGGUGUGUGGACUAACUCUAGUUAAGGAACUCUGCAAGUUUGAACCGUAACUUCGGGAGAAGGUUCGCCUUUUGGUGUGUAGUCACUUGCUGACGAAGCACUGGGAGGUCGCAGUGAAAUGGGGGUAGCGACUGUUUAUCAAAAACACAGGUCUACGCAAACACGAAAGUGGAAGUAUGUGGACUGACGCCUGCCCGGUGCUGGAAGGUUAACAGGAGAGGUUAUCCGCAAGGAGAAGCCUUGAAUCGAAGCCCCAGUAAACGGCGGCCGUAACUAUAACGGUCCUAAGGUAGCGAAAUUCCUUGUCGGGUAAGUUCCGACCUGCACGAAUGGCGUAACGACUUCCCCACUGUCUCAACUAGAGGUCCAGCGAAAUUGGUGAGCGCGUGAAGAAACGCGCUACCCGCGGAAGGACGAAAAGACCCCGUGAACCUUUACUGUAACUUGACAUUGGGUUUUGAUGAACAAUGCGUAGGAUAGGUGGGAGCUUUUGAUCCGUGCGUUCUGGCGUACGGGGAGGUGUCCUUGAAAUACCACCCUUUGUUUAUCGAAAUCCUAACCUAUGAUCCUGAUCGGGUCAGGGGACAAUGUCUGGUGGGCAGUUUGACUGGGGCGGUCGCCUCCUAAAGAGUAACGGAGGCGCACUAAGGUUCCCUCAGCCUGAAUUGAAACCAGGCGUAGAGUGUAAACGCAUAAGGGAGCUUGACUGCGAGACCAACAUGUCUAGCAGGUGCGAAAGCAGGUGUUAGUGAUCCGGUGGUUCCGAGUGGAAGGGCCAUCGCUCAACGGAUAAAAGGUACUCCGGGGAUAACA
rnacentral:rRNA from 1 species